AAGUCAUGGUGUGGGCAAUGAGCUUGGUAGCCUUUGAACCUCUCCCAUGCUUCACUGAAACUUUCUAAGUUCCUCUGCUGAAACCCAGAGAUCUCAUUCCUGAUCUU